GAUGAAGAACGUAGCGAAAUGCGAUAAGUAAUGUGAAUUGCAGAAUUCAGUGAAUCAUCGAAUCUUUGAACGCACAUUGCGCCCCCUGGUAUUCCGGGGGGCAUGCCUGUUCGAGCGUCAUUUCAACCUUCAAGCUCUGCUUGGUAUUGGGCCUGCGCUGGUCUCCCAGCGGGCCUCAAAAUCAGUGGCGGUGCCAUCUGGCUCCGAGCGUAGUAAUUCUUCUCGCUCUGGAGGCCCGGUCGUGUGCUCGCCAGCAACCCCCAAUUUUUUUCAGGUUGACCUCGGAUCAGGUAGGGAUACCCGCUGAACUUAAGCAUAUCAAUAAGCGGAGGA
rnacentral:misc_RNA from 1 species